rnacentral:rRNA from 1 species
GACGAACGCUGGCGGCGUGCCUAAUACAUGCAAGUCGAACGCAGUGGGGACGGGGGAGUAACACGUGGGUAACCUCCCAUCAGAGGGGAUAACACUUGGAAACAGGGGCCAAACCGAUACUGAUGGAUGGACCCGCGGUGCAUUAGCUAGUUGGUGAGGUAACGCCUCACCAAGGCCACGAUGCAUAGACGCCCUGAGAGGGUGAUCGGCCACACUGGUACUGAGACACGGCCCAGACUCCUACGGGAGGCAGCAGUAGGGAAUCUUCGGCAAUGGACGAAAGUCUGACCGAGCAACGCCGCGUGAGUGAAGAAGGUUUUCGGAUCGGAAAACUCUGUUGUUAGAGAAGCGGUAUCUAACCAUCCCGCCUCGGCUAACUACGUGCCAGCAGCCGCGGUCCUUC